UACAGAGGGUGCAAGCGUUAAUCGGAAUUACUGGGCGUAAAGGGUGCGCAGGCGGCGUCGCAAGUCAGGCGUGAAAUCCCCGGGCUUAACCUGGGAACUGCACUUGAAACUACGAUGCUGGAGUAUGGCAGAGGGAGGUGGAAUUCCACGUGUAGCGGUGAAAUGCGUAGAGAUGUGGAGGAACACCGAUGGCGAAGGCAGCCUCCUGGGCCAAUACUGACGCUCAUGCACGAAAGCGUGGGGAGCAAACAGG
rnacentral:rRNA from 1 species